GUCUACGGCCAUGCCACCUUGAACGUGCCUGAUCUCAUCAGAUCUCAGAAGCUAAGCAGGGUUGGGCCUGGUUAGUACUUGGAUGGGAGACCACCUAGGAAUAUUAGGUGCUGUAGGCA
rnacentral:rRNA from 1 species